GCGCGGUGGGGAGACGGUGGCCGACACCCGGGCUCCGGGCGGCGCUUGCUGCCGUUUAGCGGCUUUAGCCUUUUGUUUCAGUGUCUGAGAAAAUGGGGCGAAAGAGAGCUUGGUGUGCGCGCGCGUGUAUGUGUGUGUGUGUGUGUAAAUCAGGAGGCGUUUGGCUUGGAGCCAUUUUUUUUCUUAAUUGUGGAGACAGAGAAUCCCUUAAAACGGUUUCCCCGGGGAGACCGUGCUCCUCCUCUUCCUCCCCGGCGUCUGGAUGGAGUGGAUUUCCCUCCCGGCCUCUGCCCACCUUCUCGUCCUCCACGCUGUCCCCCUCCCUCCUUCCCCUUCCUGCCGCCCCACCUCCGUGAACCCCCGAGCGAGCGGGGUGUCUGCAAAGCGGCCCGGUCACCUGUCGUGGCAGCUGCAUGGAAAUGCUGGCGCUUCUGCUGUCUGGUCUGUGCUGUUUCCUCUGGCAAAUCACAGGGAUUCCGCCCAGAAUACCAACCCUUCCUCUUUUCCCUGCGCUUCAAAACAAAGUGCAUGAUGCUGCUUCUGAAGUUUGACCCGCCUGGGCAAUUAGUGGAGAGGUGUCUACUUUUUCUGGUCCCACCACCUCAAGGUUGGAAAGGUGAGGGCCAUCUAGCUGAAAGGAGAUGAAGGUGACACAGUCCUGUCGGGGAUGAGUGUGGCUUACCUGCUAAAUCGCUACGGAGAUCAGAAAGUCUAGUAACACUUUCCUCCUAGUGGGCAGUCAGCUCCCUGUGCAGGGAGCUCUUCCCCCUGUACCCGGGGCUUUCCUCUUUGUAUUUUGCCGUAGUUCAGCACCUUAAGGGGUACCCAGUAGGCAGUUUCUUUAAAAAGCACAGUAAUUUAUUUCUAAGGUUUUGAAGAAUGUAGAAUUUCUUUUUAAAAAAAUUAUUUAUUUUAUUUUUUUUUUUUGUCUUUCUGCCUUUUCUAGAGCCGCUCUCAUGGCAUAUGGAGGUUCCCAGGCUAGGGGUCAAAUUGGAGCUGUAGCCGUCGGCCUAUGCCAGAGCCACAGCAAGGCGGGUUCCGAGCCCCUUCUGCGACCUACACCACAGCUCAUGGCAAUGCCGGAUCCUUAACCCACUGAGCAAGGCCAGGGAUCGAACCCAAAACCUCAUGGUUCCUAGUCGGAUUCGUUAACCACUGCGCCACGACGGGAACUCCUAAAAAAUUUAUUUUUUUAUAAUGAUUUUUAUUUUUUCCAUUAUAGCUGGUUUACAGUGUUCUGUCAGUUUUCUGCUGUACAGCAAGGUGACCCAGUUAUACAUACAUGGAUACGUGCCAUGUCAACCAUUUAAAGUGGACAGUUCAAUGGCAUGAAGUAUGUUCACAUUGUGGUGCUAUCAUCACCACCAUUCAUCUCCAGAACUUUUUCAUCUCCCUGAACCGAAACUUUGUAUCCAUUAAACACUAACUUCCCCUCCCCUUCUCCCCCACUUCCCGCUCCUGACAAUCACCCUUCUACUCUGAGGUUGACUGCUUAGGUCUCAUACCAGUGCAGUCAUACAGUAUUUGUCCUUUUGUGUCUUCCUUACUUCACUAAGCAUAAUGUUUUUAAGGUUCAUCCAUAUUCUAGCAUGUAUCAGAAUUUGUUUCCUUUUUAAGGCUGAAUAUGUACAUGUUAUAUUUUGUUUAUAAAUGUUCUAAGUUAAACACACUAAGUGUCAGCAGCCAAGGUAACCUCAUGAUGGUCCAGCACACUCACUGGAAAUUUAGAUUCCUUUGUUUAAUUAAAAUGGAAAAUCGAAUGAGUUAUUUAAUGCACAGUACCUAAAUAAAACGUGUUAUAGCCUUGCUGGAUCCUGUAAUUUCCCUUCCACAUGGUUAGUGAAAUAUAGUACAUCCUUCUGAAAUUUGCAGCUGGUACAGAUGAUGUUUUUGUUUCCCAGCUAAUGUUAUAAUGAUGGUAUGUUUUGCUGUAUGGAAGAGCAAUAAAGGGCUCACCCUGAGGUACAGAUUAUAUAGGAAUGUUUAUUUCUCCUUACCACUUUGCAACAUCAUGAGUUAGUUGUUUUGUUGUCUCCCUAGCAUCCGUCAGUGGUGGUGGAGGAGGGACCUUCCUUUUUUUUUUUUUUUUUUUUUGAGUAUCUUUAUGAACUUCUCUAUUUUAGCAUAUAUUAUGUGUUUUAGUCCAUUUCAGUUAUUGUCCUUUUGAUGCUCAAAUUGCCCUAUCUUUGGGCAUAUAGGCUUAUUCAGAUUCACUCUGAGUCCUUAGGACACACUAACCUCUUGUAGUUUCCUUGCUUUCUGGUAUAAUGAGAUGGUCAGGGCUCAUCCUGUAACCAUCCUAUUCCAGGUUUGGAAUCAGAACAGACCAUUUUUAUUUUAUUUAUUUUAUUUUUUUGUCUUUUUUUUUAAGGGCCAUUCCCACAGCAUAUGGAUUUUCCAAGGCUAGGGGUCUAAUCGGAGCUAUAGCUGCCAGCCUGUGCCACAGCCACAGCAGCGCAGGAUCUGAGCUGUGUCUGCAACCUACACCACAGCUCAUAGCAACACCAGGUUCUUAACCCACUGAUUGAGGCCAGGGAUUGAACCUGCAACCUCAUGGUUACUAGUCAGGUUCGUUCAUCACUGAACCAAGAUGGGAACUCCAGAACAGUCCCUUUU
rnacentral:lncRNA from 1 species